UACGUAGGGUGCGAGCGUUGUCCGGAAUUAUUGGGCGUAAAGAGCUCGUAGGCGGUGUGUCACGUCGGCCGUGAAAACCUGCAGCUUAACUGUGGGCUUGCGGUCGAUACGGGCAUGACUGGAGUUCGGCAGGGGAGACUGGAAUUCCUGGUGUAGCGGUGAAAUGCGCAGAUAUCAGGAGGAACACCGGUGGCGAAGGCGGGUCUCUGGGCCGAUGACUGACACUGAGGAGCGAAAGCCAGGGGAGCAAACGGG
rnacentral:rRNA from 1 species